rnacentral:rRNA from 1 species
UACGGAGGGUGCAAGCGUUAUCCGGAUUCACUGGGUUUAAAGGGUGCGUAGGUGGGUUUGUAAGUCAGUGGUGAAAUCUCCGUGCUUAACAUGGAAACUGCCAUUGAUACUAUAGACCUUGAAUUUUCUGGAGGAUAGCGGAAUAUGUCAUGUAGCGGUGAAAUGCUUAGAUAUGACAUAGAACACCAAUUGCGAAGGCAGCUAUCUACAGGGAUAUUGACACUGAGGCACGAAAGCGUGGGGAUCAAACAGG